rnacentral:rRNA from 1 species
CUACGCACUCCUACGGGAGGCAGCAGUGGGGAAUAUUGCACAAUGGGCGCAAGCCUGAUGCAGCCAUGCCGCGUGUAUGAAGAAGGCCUUCGGGUUGUAAAGUACUUUCAGCAGUGAGGAAGGUGGGUAUGUUAAUAGCAUACUCAUUUGACGUUAGCUGCAGAAGAAGCACCGGCUAACUCCGUGCCAGCAGCCGCGGUAAUACGGAGGGUGCGAGCGUUAAUCGGAAUUACUGGGCGUAAAGCGCAUGCAGGUGGUUUGUUAAGUCAGAUGUAGAAAGGCCCGGGGCUCAACCUCGGAAUUGCAUUUAGAAACUGGACAAACUAGAGUACUGUAGAGGGGGUAGAAUUUCAGGUGUAGCGGUGAAAUGCGUAGAGAUCUGAAGGAAUACCGGUGGCGAAGGCGGCCCCCUGGACAGAUACUGACACUCAGAUGCGAAAGCGUGGGGAGCAAACAGGAUUAGAUACCCUGGUAG